rnacentral:rRNA from 1 species
GACGAACCGUGCGAACGUUGUUCGGAAUCACUGGGCUUAAAGGGCGCGUAGGCGGGCUGUCAAGUCUGGGGUGAAAUGCCGCGGCUCAACCGUGGAACUGCCUUAGAUACUGACGGCCUCGAGGGAGAUAGGGGCAUGCGGAACUGUAGGUGGAGCGGUGAAAUGCGUUGAUAUCUACAGGAACUCCGGUGGCGAAAGCGGCGUGCUGGAUCUCUUCUGACGCUGAGGCGCGAAAGCGUGGGGAGCGAACAGG